CCUACGGGAGGCAGCAGUGAGGAAUAUUGGUCAAUGGGCGAGAGCCUGAACCAGCCAAGUCGCGUGAAGGAUGAAGGAUCUAUGGGUUGUAAACUUCUUUUAUAUGGGAAUAAAGUGAGGUACGUGUUCCAUUUUGUAUGUACCAUAUGAAUAAGGAUCGGCUAACUCCGUGCCAGCAGCCGCGGUAAUACGGAGGGUUCGAGCGUUAUCCGGAUUUAUUGGGUUUAAAGGGUGCGUAGGUGGAUCAUUAAGUCAGCGGUGAAAGUUUGCGGCUCAACCAUAAAAUUGCAGUUGAAACUGGCUGACUUGAGUACAGUAGAGGUAGGCGGAAUGCGUGGUGUAGCGGUGAAAUGCAUAGAUAUCACGCAGAACUCCGAUUGCGAAGGCAGCUUACUAAACUGUAACUGACACUGAGGCACGAAAGCGUGGGGAUCAAACAGGAUUAGAUACCCUGGUAGUC
rnacentral:rRNA from 1 species